AGUGAACGCUGGCGGUAGGCUUAACACAUGCAAGUCGAACGGCAGCACAGUAAGAGCUUGCUCUUACGGGUGGCGAGUGGCGGACGGGUGAGGAAUAUAUCGGAAUCUACUUUUUCGUGGGGGAUAACGUAGGGAAACUUACGCUAAUACCGCAUACGCCGUACCGGUGAAAGCAGGGGAUCUUCGGACCUUGCGCGAUUGAAUGAGCCGAUGUCGGAUUGGCUAGUUGGCGGGGUAAAGGCCCACCAAGGCGAGGAUCCGUAGCUGGUCUGAGAGGAGGGUCGGCCGCACGGGAGGGGGGACGCGCACCAGACUCCUGCGGGAGGGAGCAGUGGGGAAUGUUGGGCAAUGGGCGCGAGCCUGGUCCAGCCAUACCGCGUGGGUGGAGGAGGCCUUCGGUUUGGAAAGCCCUUUUUUUGGGAAAGAAAAGCAGCAGGUUGAUACGACGCGGUUCUGACGGUACCCAAUGAAUAAGCACCGGCUAACUUCGUG
rnacentral:rRNA from 1 species